rnacentral:rRNA from 1 species
UACGUAGGGUGCGAGCGUUAAUCGGAAUUACUGGGCGUAAAGCGUGCGCAGGCGGCCUAGCAAGUCGAGUGUGAAAGCCCCGAGCUUAACUUGGGAACUGCGCUCGAAACUACUUGGCUAGAGUGUGGCAGAGGGAGGUGGAAUUCCACGUGUAGCGGUGAAAUGCGUAGAGAUGUGGAGGAACACCGGUGGCGAAGGCGGCUACCUGGACCGGUACUGACGCUGAGGCGCGAAAGCGAGGGGAGCAAACAGG